UUCAGAUUCUUCAUUAUAUUGGUUUGGAUCAUGUUGGACAUCUUGGUGGGCGCAAUAGUAUACUGAUGGCCCCCAAACUCGGAGAGAUGGAUGAAGUGAUCAAGACGAUCGAUCUAAAUUUUUUACCUACCAACAAUAAUGAUCAAGGACGGACACUCUUGUUGGUAGUAAGUGACCAUGGAAUGACUGAAACGGGAAAUCAUGGGAGGAUCAUCAUUUGAGGAAACCGACUCUUUGACACUUUUUAUUGGUCCUACAAAUUUUGGAAGUACAUCACUC